GACGUAGGUGGCGAACGUUAUCCGGAAUUAUUGGGCGUAAAGGGUGCGUAGGUGGCCUGACAAGUUAUUAAUGGUAAAUCGAGGCUCAACCUCGUGGAAACUGGUAAUACUGUCCGGCUCGAGUACAGGAGAGGUUAACGGAACUCUAUGUGGAGCGGUAAAAUGCACAGAUAUAUAGAAGAACAUCAAUAACGGCGAAGGCAGUUAACUAUUCUGUUACUGACACUGAGGCACGAAAGCGUGGGGAGCAAAACGG
rnacentral:rRNA from 1 species